rnacentral:rRNA from 1 species
AGCCCUAANUGGGUGGUAAANNCCAUCUAAGGCUAAAUAUAACCACGAGACCGAUAGCGAACAAGUACCGUGAGGGAAAGUUGAAAAGCACUUUGAAGAGAGAGUUCAAGAGUACGUGAAACCGUUUAGGGGUAAACCUGAGAAACCCGAAAGGUCGAAGGGAGAAAUUCAAUCGCGUUUCGCGAUCGGCGUUACGGCGUUCGAUUGACGGAGGAUGUGCGUUCGCGUUUAUCCUUCCGCUACUUACGUUUAACGAUCCGGUUACGAACGCGUGCACUUUUCUCCUGGUAGGACGUCGCGAUCCGUUGGGUGUCGGUCUACGGCUCGCGGUGGAGACGGCGGGCGCUAGUUUAUUCGAGCGCCCGCCGACCCGAGUGUUUACCCGGCCGACUCGCUCGACGGUAUACGAAAGGUUUAAGGUCGCACACGUACCCCGUGCGUUCGAAUCGCGGCAAGCGCGUCAGUUGUUCGUCGGUGAUCGGACCUAGUGCCGAUUCUGACCUCUGAUGACUGUUGGCCGUCGAAUUUCUCGGACAGACCUGUCGUUUCUAACGAAAACCGAUCGGCGACGCUAUAGCUUUGGGUAAUUUCAG